GCCGGGCACGGUGGCACAUGCCUGUAAUCCCAGUGACUCGGGAGGCUGAGGCAGGAGGAUCAAAAGCUCAAAGCCAGCCUCGC
rnacentral:sRNA from 1 species